rnacentral:ncRNA from 2 species
UGAAAUGUUUAGGACCACUA